rnacentral:tRNA from 2 species
GCCCCCGUGGCGCAGCGGAGAGCGCACCAGUUUCCGAAAUUGGGGGUCGCUGGUUCGAAUCCAGCCGGGGGCA